rnacentral:lncRNA from 1 species
CCCCACUGCCCCCGCCCCUGUGGAAUUGCCAUUGGCAUUUGCAACAAAUUUUUCGAUUAGUGCUAGAACUUGGAGCACGGGCACAGGGCACAGGGCACAGGGCACAACGGACGGAGCUGGAGCCGAUUUCCACCCAUGCCAUUGUUCAAUAGUGCAUUGCCGGCACCAUUUUUCGUUAUCCGUCCGGGCUCCAUUCACUCGAAAGGGGAAUACUUCAUGAGGGUCCAAAGAGAUGGCGGCUCAGUGUGGACUGGGAACUGUGGAAAUGGCAAACAAAUUGUGCAAAUGGCAAAAUGCUGGCAAAAGGCCGGCCACAGAGACGGCGGUAUAAAAUAUUCGGGUUGGACACAGGAUUUCUGACCAAAAAUUGAACUAAAAACAAAUUUUUAGUGCCAGUCAGGAGCAGGAGCAGGAGCAGCAGCAGCAGCAGCUGAAAUUGACAGACGGGGCCGCCAGGAAUGUGUCGGGAUGGGGUGUCGGGAAUGGCAAUGCCGAUUCCCAUUUCGAUCCGAGCCUUUGCCGGCCAGUGGAGCUCCGCUCUGGAGCCGCUUUCGGCACCAAAUUGAUGCAGCUGCGAACAAAAGGACUCUGCUCUUUUGACUACUUUUUGGACUAUUCACGGUUUUCGUUUCAAAAACAAACUCAUCCUGAUUGACGAAACUUAUCAAACAGCAAACUAC